UAAGAAGGGUGCAAGCGUUAAUCGGAAUUACUGGGCGUAAAGCGCGCGUAGGUGGUUUGUUAAGUUGGAUGUGAAAGCCCCGGGCUCAACCUGGGAACUGCAUCCAAAACUGGCAAGCUAGAGUAUGGCAGAGGGUGGUGGAAUUUCCUGUGUAGCGGUGAAAUGCGUAGAUAUAGGAAGGAACACCAGUGGCGAAGGCGACCACCUGGGCUAAUACGGACACUGAGGUGCGAAAGCGGGGGGAGCACACAGGCUGAGAUAACAGUGUAGUCC
rnacentral:rRNA from 1 species